AGUUUACAAAUAAAAGUAUAUUAAACGUGAAGAACAAGGGUAAAGGAGUAGCUUCCUCUUCUACUCCGACGUAAACCAUUGAACGUAGUUUUUGAAUCUUGACGUUUCCUAUAUCCUAUCAAUUUGUUUAAAAGAUGAAGAUAUGAAUUUAAGAUUACUAAUCUGUGAAUUAUUUUUUGAAAAGUAAUACUGCGGCAAGGAGUUGAAGGAAAACUUUCAUAUUUUCCAUACAAGAACUAUGCAGAUAACCUAUGGCCGCAGUGAAAUUCAAUACACAGGAAAUAGAUUGGUUCAAUGAUAAAAUACUCAAUGUUCUACAACAUCCAUCAUGUCGUGAUAUAUACCACCAGUACCUCAAGAGAUACAGUCCAGCAAAUUACAAUGCAUUCAAACUAUGGAAGACAGCUAAUGAUACCAAAGAAUAUAA